CUACCUUAAACUAAUAGAAUAAGGAAAACAAAGCAAGCGGUCAGAGCCUCUCGCCGCGCUAGCCUUCUGGUGCGCGAGAAUUUUUGGAGGGGAUAUAGGCUCGCCGAGCGUUGACGCUGCUUCGAGCUGGCCUCCC